GAUGAACGCUGGCGGCGUGCCUAAUACAUGCAAGUCGAGCGAACAGACAAGGAGCUUGCUCCUUUGACGUUAGCGGCGGACGGGUGAGUAACACGUGGGUAACCUACCUAUAAGACUGGGAUAACUUCGGGAAACCGGAGCUAAUACCGGAUAAUAUUUCGAACCGCAUGGUUCGAUAGUGAAAGAUGGUUUUGCUAUCACUUAUAGAUGGACCCGCGCCGUAUUAGCUAGUUGGUAAGGUAACGGCUUACCAAGGCGACGAUACGUAGCCGACCUGAGAGGGUGAUCGGCCACACUGGAACUGAGACACGGUCCAGACUCCUACGGGAGGCAGCAGUAGGGAAUCUUCCGCAAUGGGCGAAAGCCUGACGGAGCAACGCCGCGUGAGUGAUGAAGGUCUUCGGAUCGUAAAACUCUGUUAUUAGGGAAGAACAUACGUGUAAGUAACUAUGCACGUCUUGACGGUACCUAAUCAGAAAGCCACGGCUAACUACGUGCCAGCAGCCGCGGUAAUACGUAGGUGGCAAGCGUUAUCCGGAAUUAUUGGGCGUAAAGCGCGCGUAGGCGGUUUUUUAAGUCUGAUGUGAAAGCCCACGGCUCAACCGUGGAGGGUCAUUGGAAACUGUAAAACUUGAGUGCAGAAGAGGAAAGUGGAAUUCCAUGUGUAGCGGUGAGAUGCGCAGAGAUAUGGAGGAACACCAGUGGCGAAGGCGACUUUCUGGUCUGUAACUGACGCUGAUGUGCGAAAGCGUGGGGAUCAAACAGGAUUAGAUACCCUGGUAGUCCACGCCGUAAACGAUGAGUGCUAAGUGUUAGGGGGUUUCCGCCCCUUAGUGCUGCAGCUAACGCAUUAAGCACUCCGCCUGGGGAGUACGACCGCAAGGUUGAAACUCAAAGGAAUUGACGGGGACCCGCACAAGCGGUGGAGCAUGUGGUUUAAUUCGAAGCAACGCGAAGAACCUUACCAAAUCUUGACAUCCUUUGACAACUCUAGAGAUAGAGCCUUCCCCUUCGGGGGACAAAGUGACAGGUGGUGCAUGGUUGUCGUCAGCUCGUGUCGUGAGAUGUUGGGUUAAGUCCCGCAACGAGCGCAACCCUUAAGCUUAGUUGCCAUCAUUAAGUUGGGCACUCUAAGUUGACUGCCGGUGACAAACCGGAGGAAGGUGGGGAUGACGUCAAAUCAUCAUGCCCCUUAUGAUUUGGGCUACACACGUGCUACAAUGGACAAUACAAAGGGCAGCGAAACCGCGAGGUCAAGCAAAUCCCAUAAAGUUGUUCUCAGUUCGGAUUGUAGUCUGCAACUCGACUACAUGAAGCUGGAAUCGCUAGUAAUCGUAGAUCAGCAUGCUACGGGGAAUACGUUCCCGGGUCU
rnacentral:rRNA from 1 species